rnacentral:tRNA from 1 species
UCCCUUGUAGCUCAGUUGGUAAAGAGUCUGCCUGUGGUGCAGGAGACCCGGGUUCGAUCCCUGGGUUGGGAU